ACCUGGCGGCGAGUGGCGAACGGGUGAGUAAUAUAUCGGAACGUACCCUGGAGUGGGGGAUAACGUAGCGAAAGUUACGCUAAUACCGCAUACGAUCUAAGGAUGAAAGUGGGGGAUCGCAAGACCUCAUGCUCCUGGAGCGGCCGAUAUCUGAUUAGCUAGUUGGUAGGGUAAAAGCCUACCAAGGCAUCGAUCAGUAGCUGGUCUGAGAGGACGACCAGCCACACUGGAACUGAGACACGGUCCAGACUCCUACGGGAGGCAGCAGUGGGGAAUUUUGGACAAUGGGCGCAAGCCUGAUCCAGCAAUGCCGCGUGAGUGAAGAAGGCCUUCGGGUUGUAAAGCUCUUUUGUCAGGGAAGAAACGGCCUGUUCUAAUACAGCGGGCUAAUGACGGUACCUGAAGAAUAAGCACCGGCUAACUACGUGCCAGCAGCCGCGGUAAUACGUAGGGUGCAAGCGUUAAUCGGAAUUACUGGGCGUAAAGCGUGCGCAGGCGGUUUUGUAAGUUUGUCGUGAAAUCCCCGGGCUCAACCUGGGAAUGGCGAUGAAGACUGCAAGGCUAGAGUUUGGCAGAGGGGGGUAGAAUUCCACGUGUAGCA
rnacentral:rRNA from 1 species